UCACAGAAGACCCAAGCGUCAGUGUCACAGUUCUUCAUACCACAAUCAUCUCCUGAGGUUGAUACGUGACAUCAAUACGUAUCUGGAGGAAAGUGGUUUGAGUGGAUGGCUGCUUGGGGAUUCUGGCUACCCAUUAAAACCCUUUCUUUUGACGCCAGUAGCCAAUGAGCGCACACCACAAGACAUGCGAUACAACCAAGCACACAAAAAAUGCAGGGGAAGAGUGGAACGUCUGUUCGGAGUCUGGAAGAGCAGAUGGAGGUGCCAUGACAUGAGUGGUGGAUAUCUCCAAUAUUCUCCAGAGAAGGUCGUUCUGUUCAUCAAAGCGACAGCUGUGCUGCACAACAUCUGUAGACUGGCAAACGUCCCAGAUCCAGACAUACCAGAUCAGGAUAUGGAGCACCCCGAAG
ensembl:lncRNA